AUUGAACGCUGGCGGCAGGCCUAACACAUGCAAGUCGAAUGGUAACAGGAAACAGCUUGCUGUUUCGCUGACGAGUGGCGGACGGGUGAGUAAUGUCUGGGAAACUGCCUGAUGGAGGGGGAUAACUACUGGAAACGGUAGCUAAUACCGCAUAACGUCGCAAGACCAAAGAGGGGGACCUUCGGGCCUCUUGCCAUCAGAUGUGCCCAGAUGGGAUUAGCUAGUAGGUGGGGUAACGGCUCACCUAGGCGACGAUCCCUAGCUGGUCUGAGAGGAUGACCCGCCCCUCAGAAACUGAGCCCCGGCCCAGGCUCUGAGGGGAGGCACAGAGGGGGAAUUUGGGCAAAAGGGGGGAAGCCUGAUGCAGCCAGGCCGGGGUUAUGAAGAAGGCCUGCGGGUUGUAAAAUUUUUUCCGGGGGGGGAAAGGGAGUAAAGUUAAAACCUGUGCCAAUGAACGUUACCCGCAAAAAAAGCCCCGGCAAACUCCGU
rnacentral:rRNA from 1 species